GCCACAAGCGGCAGCCCCGGAAGGGGAAGAAGUGCCCUAGCAGAGGCAAGAGCACGCGGGGUGCCAAAGUGGCAGGCAGCAGCUUUCCACCUGCCAGGGUAACAUUCUGUGGGGUGCAAGAGACCACCACCAGCUACCGCACCUCACUGUUAUACAGAGACCCUGACAGUGGACAGUUGUACCCACUGACCGUGGCCGCACCAACUAACAAGAAGGUCUUGAGCAAGAUACGCGUGAUACCCCAACCACCACGGAUCUCUCCCUCUAAGCCCAUCCACGUGUUCAUCAAGG
ensembl:lncRNA